UUAUUUUUAGUUUGAAAUUUCAGACUUACCUAUUUUUUUGUAAUAAAGUUGCUCCACAAAGACACCGUGGGGUAAUUGAGAAGGCAAUAUUCACGCGUAUUUCGCGCAGCCGUGCGAUAAAAAUAAAAACAAAAAUAGGAAUCGAUGCAAAUCAAAACAAAAACAAAAAUUUGCAUUCUUUAGUUACUGGCUGUUCAGUGAAUUUGGAAAUUUGAGUCAAAAACGUUAAAAUCGUGGCAUCUGCAGCAUAAACUCGCUAGUGUAAGUUUAAAUUAGUGGCGGAGAGCUUGCACACGUAAACUAGCUGCACUACACGAUUGUUAGAUUUGUGGAAGAAGAAGGCAAAAGUGAUCAUUCGAAAGAUAAUUGGGAAAUCCCA